rnacentral:SRP_RNA from 1 species
GCCUAGCGCGGUGGCGCGUGCCUGUAGUCCCAGCUACUCAAGAGGCUAAGGUGCGAGGAUCGCUUGAGCCCAGGAGUUCUGGGCUGCAGUGCGCCAUGCCAAUCGGGUGUUUGCACUAAGUUUGGCAUCAAUAUGGUGACCUCCCGGGAGCAGGGGACCACCAGGUUGUCUAAGGAGGGGUGAACCGGCCCAGGUUGGAAACGGAGCAGGUCAAAACUCCCGUGCUGAUCAGUAGUGGGAUUGCAACUGUGAAUAGCCACUGCACUCUGGCCUGGGCAACAUAGCAAGACCCCAACUCU